rnacentral:lncRNA from 1 species
CGCUGAUUUUUUUUUUUUUUUGGUAACACCCCAUCCCACCCCCCUCCUUUUUCCUGGAGAACGGAGCUCAAACCUCUACAACAAUUUCUUGAUUCUGCAGAAAAUUUCCAGAGACUUGGUGAAGAUAGGAAAGCUAUCAAAAAGACCAUAGGACUAUUGUACUGUAAGUAUUGCUUUGAAAAAGAACUGUAAAUUAAGAAUAUUUUAAGUAUCCAGUUGUUUUGGGGAAAUAUGUUAGGCAGAGAUAUUAUAUGUAAAAUGUAGAGGAGG